rfam:Ornithorhynchus anatinus chromosome 3, whole genome shotgun sequence.
CCCCUCUCAGGGUCGCACCUGGAGAGUUUCCAGUACUCUACCAGUGUCAACUACAGGAGGGAGUAUCAAGCAGAGGCAUACCCAUUCCAUUUUUAGCUUGGGCAGUGGCUAGCAAGUAGAAGGCAACCUGCUACAAGU